CACGUAAUAAAACUCAUCAAGUACAACAACUUUUCUACAUAUAUAACGUUUUGCAAAAUCCUUAUUUUUAUUUCCACUGUUUUCCUCAUUUAUUUUGUGGAAACGAGCCGGAGAGAUCAUAUUUUGUAUAUAAACAUCGAUUCGGACUUUAUACGUCAAUCACUUCGAGAUGAAGUUCUUCGAAAUUGUGUUAUUUUUGUUCUUACUUGUUGCUGCAAAUUUUGGAGAAGAAUUAGAGCCAGACUGGUCAGAACAAGAGGUAGAAGGUUUUUCCCAACGAAGUCAACCACCACGUAAUGGCCAGUAUUGUGAUUGGUGGUGGAAUGGUGGAACUUGUUAUUAAAUAUGUUUAUAAUUGAUUAAGGAAAUAAUUAAUUGUUGUCUUCAUAAUUAAAGCAGUUGUAAAAGA